rnacentral:tRNA from 1 species
UGGAUAUUAGUUAAACUUUUUAAUAACAUUUAAAUUGCAAUUAAAAAUUGAUCUUAAAAAAUCAUAUCU